rnacentral:rRNA from 1 species
UACAGAGGGUGCAAGCGUUAAUCGGAAUUACUGGGCGUAAAGCGUGCGCAGGCGGUUUUGUAAGCCAGAUGUGAAAUCCCCGGGCUCAACCUGGGAAUGGCAUUUGGGACUGCAAGGCUCGAGUGCGGCAGAGGAGACUGGAAUUCCUGGUGUAGCAGUGAAAUGCGUAGAUAUCAGGAGGAAUACCGAUGGCGAAGGCAGGUCUCUGGGCUGACACUGACGCUCAUGCACGAAAGCGUGGGGAGCAAACAGG